GCGUUUUUAAUUUAAUGGAUAAAAUGUUAGCCUUCUAAGCUAAAUAUAUAGGUUCAAAUCCUUUAGAACGUAC
rnacentral:tRNA from 1 species